CCUACGGGAGGCAGCAGUGGGGAAUAUUGCACAAUGGGGGCAACCCUGAUGCAGCAACGCCGCGUGAGUGAAGAAGGAUUUCGGUAUGUAAAGCUCUAUCAGCAGGGAAGAGGAAAGACGGUAACUGACUAAGAAGCCCCGGCUAACUACGUGCCAGCAGCCGCGGUAAUACGUAGGGGGCAAGGGUUAUCCCGAUUUACUGGGUGGAAAGGGAGGGUAGACGGAUGUGCAAGUCUGAAGUGAAAGCCCGCGGCUCAACCGCGGAACUGCUUUUGAAACUGUAUAGCUUGAGUACUGGAGAGGUAGGCGGAAUUCCUUGUGUAGCGGUGAAAUGCGUAGAUAUUAGGAGGAACACCAGUGGCGAAGGCGGCCUGCUGGACAGAAACUGACGUUGAGGCUCGAAAGCGUGGGGAGCAAACAGGAUUAGAUACCCGAGUAGUC
rnacentral:rRNA from 1 species